AGCUUUGUUUUCUUGUGAACAAUGUCUGAGAAAGAAUAAGUUUGGGUUAACCAUGGAGACCGCAAGCAUCUUUGCAAAGUCGUAAGUAGAGGACCUUCUGGCUAAAUGACAUAUCCCUGUUUUACUCUGUAAUCGUCCAAGUUUCCGAGGUUCCACACUAUGAAAAAGUCAGUUCUGGUUCUAUGAUUUCAUCACCUGCUAGCAUGAGCGACAGCAAAAUGCAAGAAAUAUCUAAAAUUUAUGCAAGUGAUAGAUUUAACCUCCAAUCAAGAUAAUAAAGAGAAACUCAAGGCAGCUCAGCUUAGGUAUUCAAAGAAGAUAAAAUAAUCCAUCUCCAUUCAAAAAAGAAAGGGGGGGUGGGGGGGUGGGGGUGGAUGCAACACACAUGAAAUUUGGCAAAAAUGAAUGUCUUCAUCGAAUAAACUAUUUCUGUAACUUUUUCAAGAAGCCAAAUCGAAACUAAAUAUAAUUAGCAAAUGAGUGAUAGACACCCUGAUACUUUGGUGUGAGAGCCGCUAAAUAUGCAGUUCCUAAUGAAUAUAUGACAACAAACUGCAUAAAAUGUAGACUGUUCAAGCCAGAGCAUAGGAAAGAUCUUCUAAACCAUUCUAGAGCUAAGUGUUCCGUCUUCCAUUUAUGUAGAAAAUAUUUAUGCCAUAGUUAUUAACUUUAAAGUAGUCAAUUCAAUUACAUGAAUAAUUCAACAAUAUGUAUUAAACUCAUUUUGCUUUUAUUUAGUUUUACACAGAAGAACCCAUGUUGUUUCUAAACCACAUGGACAUGGGGAACCUAGAAUAUUAAGAGAAGAUCCCAACUUCUUUCGAGAAUUUCAUCAAACAUGUACCAAACAAUGAUGUUUUAACUAAGGAGUAGGUAUUAACAAUACCAAAUUAAAAGCGGCAAAAAGAAUGGACAUAAACAAAAGUUACCUUCACUUAAAAACAUGGAUUAUCCACCCAGUUCAGCACGAGUUGGAACUACAGGUACAAGAAAAUUCCCAAAAGGAGAAUCAAAGAUCCUAAAAUUGCCAGUGCAGCCGUCUUGUUGUGCUUGAGCUAGUGCUGAAUUC
rnacentral:lncRNA from 1 species